rnacentral:rRNA from 1 species
UACGAAGGGGGCUAGCGUUGUUCGGAAUUACUGGGCGUAAAGCGCACGUAGGCGGAUAUUUAAGUCAGGGGUGAAAUCCCGCAGCUCAACUGCGGAACUGCCUUUGAUACUGGGUAUCUUGAGUAUGGAAGAGGUAAGUGGAAUUCCGAGUGUAGAGGUGAAAUUCGUAGAUAUUCGGAGGAACACCAGUGGCGAAGGCGGCUUACUGGACGAUUACUGACGCUGAGGCGCGAAAGCGUGGGGAGCAAACAGG